rnacentral:lncRNA from 1 species
UCCUUCCACCAAUCACAUCGCUGUGCUUCUGUGACAACUGAACACAACUGGAAGUGAAAAACAACUCCUCAUUCAAAGGGGUUUAACGUUCCUUGUAGAUUCUGGAUAUUGGGCCUUUGUCAGAUGCAUAGAUUGCAAAAAUUUUCUCCCACUCUGCCAAAAGAGGAGUACAUCUGAACAGCAAUAGAGCAGAGGAAGAAACCCUAAGUCAUGUUGUAGCCUAAUACCAUGGAGUAGCACAGACUUUGAAACCAGGCAGAACCAGAACUUGAACAGAUCUCUUCAGAACCGGGAAAACAUCUCCUUUUGUUGACAUCACAUGAAGGUUGAAGUCCGCUGUCAGGACCAUGUUUAAGGAUCUCAAUUGCCAUGUGGAUAAGAAGUUCACUGUAAAACACGCAGGCCCUUCUGGAGGUGUCCAGAAGAAGGCAUUGUUAUCACAGGAGAUGACAGCCCCAUGCAUAUGACUGCCCCUGAAGACCUGGUGGGACAAGAUGUGGAGGUGGAAGAUAGUGAGACUGAUGAUCCUGAGCCCAUGUAGGCCUAGGCUGAUGUGUGGGUUUUUGUCUUGGUUUUUAACAAAAAAAAUGUAAAAAGUAAAAACAAAUUUAACAAAAUCAAAAACAGAAAA